rnacentral:lncRNA from 1 species
GGGGUGAAGUCCGGCUUCCGUGGGAGUCCGGACGAAGUCUACCUGUAAGUGAAGUCGUGGGCGGAGUCCGGCUCCCGUAAGAGUCCGGGCGGAGUCUAGAAGAUGACCGAUCAUCAUGGAAAUUUGGGUGGAGUCCAUCCGUCGUGAAGAAUCCGGUCGAUGCUGGUGGGGGCUUAUCCGCCAGCAAAACUUGGGAGUGUUGCGGAGGCUCGACCGCCUGGGAGGUUUGAAGAGACGUCGUUGGAGGUCGGAAGUCAGUUGGAUCCCCAGAGGGUCACUCCUGUCACGAACUUCGACUGGGAGAUAUUUUAUACCCAACACAUGAGAUCUAAGUCUCUUAUUUAAAAAUAAUAUUAAGUCAUAAUGGCGAGGUGUUAAGAACACUACCCAUGUCUUCCUUCAUGCCAAGCCAGUAUUAUGCCAAGAACUAUAGUAAGUUUGUUGUGCUAUCAAUAAGGCUUGCUAUAAGGACUGAUAAAAUACUAUCUUGGUAC